CAAAGGAGCUGAUGUUUAUGAUGCCGGAACCAUCCGCCCCGACACCAACAGAGACCAACAUCACUGUUCCAGUGGCUCCUGAGAUUUCUGCAGAGCCCUGUCAACCGACACUGCAUCCACCAGCUGCACCAACACAAAGUCAGCCAUUACCCAGGCCAUCAACGGUCCCCAGCUGUCCUCCUCCUCCUCCUCAGCUUCCU